GCCGUGUUCUUUUUUGGUAUUGAAAUCCUUAAGCAAAGAUUGAUUUAAGCUGCUUUUGUAUCGAUAUAAGCAGACCAAAUUGGCUGGCGGGAGAUGAAAAGGGCAUCGUAGUAACCGGAUGAUCAUAAUAACCGGGUAUCGUACUAACGGAAGACUAGAAAUUUGCCGGGAAAUGAAAAUAGUAUCGUAAUAAGCAGUACUUCGAUAUAACGAGACUUUACUGUAACAAAAGUUUUAAUAAAAAUUAAAGACCAUAAAUUGACACCUGCUAGCAAGCCAAGCUAACCAGCAAACUGAGAAAUAAAGAGAAAUCAUACCAGCCCUGGAAAUCCGGGUCCAAAAUCCAAAACAGGACCAGUCAGUCUGUUGGAUGACGAGGGUGGUGCCUUCGAUGUAAAACCAGUUACAGAAUUAUAUAAACUUUGUGAGAAUAGAAACCUGAUUUUAUUUCAAGCGGAAUAUGACAGAGCUACUGGAGGAAACUAGCACAAAUAAGGAAAGCUUGAAGAGACCUGCGAACACAGACUGGAAUUGUACAAUUUUCGAACAUCAGCCUCAAAAAGAUCCAUGAGGAAGUCAUAAACCUUAAGGAGGAAAAUAGAGCACUGCGCCAUUAUAUUAAGGUUCUACAGGAUGAUGUCAAGGUACUACUGGAUGAUACCGCUGCUUUACCACCACUCUUUAAAGACGAGAAAGCAAAUGAAAAAUACAAUUGAUGAGAUGAUCAGAAUACAUAAGCGAACAAUGCAAUGCUCACGGAGGACGAAGCAGAUGAAAUAGAUGUUGCUGCAACAAAUGUCCAAUUUCCUACAAUGAAAGGAGGAGGAUGUUGAUACUUACAUCCCAUUGUAUGGCAGUGCACUCUUAAAAAUGCUGGGUUAUUUUUUUGACCCAAUCGCUGGGUUGAGCCUGUUGGGUCAUUUAAUUGGGUUAUUUUUAUUGAGUUGGGUAUUCUGAGAACCCAAUUCGCUGGGUUAUCUCUGUUGGGUGCUGAGUUAUUUGCUGCUGGGUUGUGAUUUCCAUUAUAUUGUGCUGGGUUAUUUUGGACAACCCAAAGCGUUGGGUAGAAUUUUGAACACGAGCAACAAAGCCCCGCCCACAAACUGACUUCGUUCGGACCCCACAUUUCAUCUGAGGAGACCAAUUUCAGCACGGAGCAAGGUUUGUUACAUGCCCACUAUUGUUUUACCGUAGAAUUGACUUUAUAUUAUUAUAUAAAGCUUCAUAAACUUGUUAAAAUGUAAGUUCGUGAAGCACUGUUGAGUACUAGCUUCAGGAAUGGAUCGGUAACCUUAGCAAACUUCCAUUCCCUCCAAAAGUGGCAAGCGAACACAUUCGCUGGCGAGCUAUGUAGGAACCAAACUAUGUUGUUGAAGUUACAAGAGACAUGCACUAUGUGUGAUAGUUAUGAGGACAACGUCAGUUAUCUCGUUAAUUUGCAAUUUUAUGUGAUAUCAAGUUAAAGAAUCUCGUGAAUUAAUACGAGCGUGCUGAUGAACCGGUGUUUUUUUUUCACGCUAGACUGCUGCAUGCUAGCGGGCUUCCGUUAGCCACGGAUAGUCCACUGUAUACUUAGCAGUUUCAACUAGUUUGGGCGCGAAUUCGACGACAGUUUUGUAAGUCGCAUAUAAAUGUGGAGAAUACGUUUGGACUACUGAAUCUUAUUUCAUUUCAUGGUAUGUUUGUUCUUAUGGACCCUCUUUGUGAUGUUUCAGUUCGCUGAAAAGCAUCUAUGGAUGAGUUUGUCAGUUCCAACUUGACUGAGUGGCAGCUAUCGGGGCUGAUUGAAAGAUGCCAGGGGAGAAGUCGCCCUGACGCUUCUGCCCAUCCUGCUCCCUCCGCCUGUGUUUAAAAAGGGCAGGAAAUUGGUCCGGGCGAGUAUUCAGGAGGUGAAGAGAGCCUUCCUCGAUGUUAAGCCCGUCGGAGCUAACAUGGUGGAAUACUUGCAGCAGGCAGAAUCGCCUCCCCAUUUGUGCUGCUGCUCACAGAGCCUCUUGUUCUAUGUAUAUAUCACUCUCUCAUAGCUGUCCCCCUCACUUGCUCUUAAAAUGUUAUUUUUUUUGUACAUAAUUUGUUCAUAUGUGAAGGAAAUGUUGUGAGUUGUUAUAUUUGUAUGUUCUGGAAUUUUGAAUUUUAAUAAAUAUUUUAUUGUUACAUUGGUGUCAUUAUCAUUGUAAUAUAUUAUUAAUAGUAUUAGCAUACAAUAAAAAUAAAUAAAUAAUAAUUUAAAAAAAAUAUAUAUAUAUACAUAUAUAGAAAUAUAUAUGGUAUAUUGGCAACCCAACUUGCUGGGUUGAAAUAACCCAGCCGUGUAGUAAAUAUGAACCCAGCGUUGGGUCAUUUGAACAACCCAAUGUACAACCCAAUUGUUGGGUUAAGAGAACCAACCCAACUUGUUGGGUUAAAAUAACCCAACGCGAGGUUGGUCCUAUAUUUAACCAGCGUUGGGUUGGGAAACAACCCAUAUUGGGUUGUUUUUAACCCAGCAUUUUUAAGAGUGUGGGACGCACCAACGGGGAAUUCAAAACUGCACUACUGAAACAUGUAAAGACGCUCAAAGUUCCAAACUUAUUUUUACACUUGGAUGACAAUUUAAAAUGUUACGUAAAAAAGUCAACCUGUAUGGUUAAAAAUGUUUUUUUAUGCGGGACAGUGAGUAAGACUUGCUCAUUUUAGUGAAUGGUGUCAUCAUGCCUAAAAAAAAAAAAUAAAUAAUCAAGUGACACCCAUUCUAAAAAGCCUCCGCUGCCAGUGGGAUGAUUUCACAGAUGCGUUAACGCUCUCCUUCCAUUGCGGCGGCUCUCCGACUUGGUGGUGGGGGGGCGGGCGUAGUCGUCGGGUGCGUCCUGUGUGCUCGCUUCCCAUUCAAAUUAGGAAAGACGCCGGCAGGCUGCAUCGAGUCAGGCCUGAAGUGCUGGUGUUACACAACAGCAGAGGAGGGAACCGUCGUUAACGGCGCUACCUCCCUCCUCGUCGGGGGGGGGCCGCCGCGCUCCCGACCGCAGGCGAGCAAAAAAAGGUCAGGAGCUUUUGAAGGUGAAGUGCAGUCGCCAUAGUAACAAAUGUUGUCUCCCCUGUCUCCUAGCAACGGGAUGUGGAGUGAUGUCAAUGGAAAGCAUGUUAUUUUCUCCCGCUGACAGAAUGUCACUGCUUCGUGUGUGUGUGUGAGCAUCUCUGCCCUGCUAAGGGAAUGGAAAGGGGGGGUGUGAUGUUGUGACAUCCCUGGGAGUCAAUGAUAAACUAAAAUAUCCACAGGGAGGGGGAUGAUUCAUGUGCCAAUUAGGGAUCCAAUUGUUGCUACUGGCUCUUUUUUUGGCAUCAUCCUCCGCAUUCAGGAAUAACCUCAAAUUUUACUCAUGCAUCAUGUGUGAUCACAAGUCUUCUGCUAUUAAACGUAGGAUGGAUGAUAGCAAUGGGAAUAAUUGGGAAUAAUUCACCGUGUCGAACUGAUUGGGAAACUGGGCCACUGGAGCUAGGGUCUGGGCGAGGCUGGGCCGCAUCAGGUUUUCAAAAAAAAAAAAAAAAAAAAACGCAUUUAUUAAAAACAGAAAAAUGAAUAAACUUUGCUUUGGUUCCGAUUUUCUACAAUAAAAGCUCUGAUAAAACAUUCCACUGUUCUCAAAUAUCUUAAUUUUUAUUUUUCUACACAAAAGAUGAAAAAUAAAUAAAUCAAGAAUAAAGAAAAUCAAUCAGUAAUAAAUAAAUAUAAUAAUAAUAAUAAAACGGCAAAUAAUAAAAACUUAAGAAACCACAUAUAGUUGGUGGGUAGACAAAUGAUUUUUUUCAGAUUAAAAUGAACAAAGCAUUAUUAGAGCCCUGUAGACAUGACAAAACACGACUAUAGUCACAUUUAUACUCCUUUUAUUUACAACAUAUUGCAAACUAGAUAGCUAGCGACCUAAACAGUAGCCUCCAAGUUAUUUUCUUUAAACUUAAAAAGCCAAAAACUUACCACUUCCACACGGAUAGGGAGGAUAACUAUUAACAGUUAUUUAACCUUUAACAUGAACAUUAAUCAAACGUAGUAAUUUUUUCUGGGUACAUGAUACCAUACAGCAUCCAUAUCAAACUUGCGCCGGCCGCACUAACAUUGAACUUUCAUAUCAAGGCGGGGGCCUCAAACUAGUGUCCUGCGGGCCACAUUUGGCGUGUUUGAGACCCCUGCUCUAAAGUCAAACAAAAUCUAAAGCAGGAGUCACCAACCGGUCGAUCAUGAGAAUAUUAGAAAAAAAUGUAGUAUAUCAGUGCCCUCCCGUCCCAGAGAGUGACAGACACACAUUUUGACAACUGAACACACCCUCCAGACACCCAACCAGCAAGAUCCAGCCAGGAGCCCGGUCUCUAAAACCCAUCCAGAGGUACCAUGUACACUGGUACCAUGUACACUGGCUCUCCAACAAGCAAUAACAAGCGCUCAGCUGACAUUGGAACACAUUGACCAGCCUCUCUCUCCUCAACCACCAUCGCUUGCCCACGAUACUGAGCCAACAAGCUUGAGUUGUACUUUGCUCAAUAGAGCCCACGCCGCAAGCCCCGACCCCAACGAAGAUCCACAAAAGUAGGGGUGGCCUAAGAGCAAAAGGCAUAAUGACAAAUGGCUGACAUGUUGAUGCCAACAAGCAAUAAUAACACAAAGCUUUGUAUUUCAAGACAAAGCUUUAAAUAUGUGGUCGUUGUGUUUUUAGUAUUGAACUUAAAAACGGUGACUCCAGUUCUUGUAAAAGCAUGGUGGUACUAACCUGGCUUCCAACACAGCAAAUCAAUAAUGUAUCGAUACGAGCCAUUAUGAGUACAAAUAAUAUGUGUACUUAAGCUAAUUGUACUUUUUUCAUGAAAUGAAGCGUUGUCAAGCAUAAAAACGGCUAAAUAUCUAGUAUUCUACACUAUAGUCACUAAGUAUCAGUAAUGGUACUGUAAUGUUCGGGGAGACAGUCAAGCACCAGACUUGAUCACAGGAAUGGCAUCAUCUCACAACAAGCACAGGCUACUCUCAACCCCCGACUCAGACCCCCCCUGGCACCGGAACACAUUUGCUUACUUAUUUAUCUUUCUUAUUGUCUGUUACUAUAUCUACUAUGUUAGGGAAUGGGAGUGCAAAGAUGACUAUAGGGGAGUUAUUUCAUGUCUCUAAUAAUAUUAAAAACAGUAUUUAGAAGCCACCCUCGGGCAUCU